UACAGAGGUGGCAAGCGUUGUUCGGAAUUACUGGGCGUAAAGGGCGUGUAGGCGGCUUGGUCAGUCCCGUGUGAAAUCCCUCGGCUCAACUGAGGAACUGCACGGGAAACUGCCUGGCUUGAGUUCGGGAGAGGGAAGCGGAAUUCCGGGUGUAGCGGUGAAAUGCGUAGAUAUCCGGAGGAACACCGGUGGCGAAGGCGGCUUCCUGGACCGACACUGACGCUGAGGCGCGAAAGCUAGGGGAGCAAACGGG
rnacentral:rRNA from 1 species